rnacentral:rRNA from 1 species
GGGAUAACUAUUGGAAACGAUAGCUAAUACCGCAUAACAGUAGAUAUCGCAUGAUAUGUGCUUGAAAGGUGCAAUUGCAUCACUACCAGAUGGACCUGCGUUGUAUUAGCUAGUUGGUGAGGUAACGGCUCACCAAGGCAACGAUACAUAGCCGACCUGAGAGGGUGAUCGGCCACACUGGGACUGAGACACGGCCCAGACUCCUACGGGAGGCAGCAGUAGGGAAUCUUCGGCAAUGGACGGAAGUCUGACCGAGCAACGCCGCGUGAGUGAAGAAGGUUUUCGGAUCGUAAAGCUCUGUUGUAAGAGAAGAACGAGUGUGAGAGUGGAAAGUUCACACUGUGACGGUAUCUUACCAGAAAGGGACGGCUAACUACGUGCCAGCAGCCGCGGUAAUACGUAGGUCCCGAGCGUUGUCCGGAUUUAUUGGGCGUAAAGCGAGCGCAGGCGGUUAGAUAAGUCUGAAGUUAAAGGCUGUGGCUUAACCAUAGUACGCUUUGGAAACUGUUUAACUUGAGUGCAAGAGGGGAGAGUGGAAUUCCAUGUGUAGCGGUGAAAUGCGUAGAUAUAUGGAGGAACACCGGUGGCGAAAGCGGCUCUCUGGCUUGUAACUGACGCUGAGGCUCGAA